rnacentral:misc_RNA from 1 species
GGCGCCUGAGGAAUGUUCUGCUGCUAUAAGGAUAGGCAGCAGAAAUGUUAACCGAGCCAUAAUCAAGCUUAGGCUUGGUAUCCUAUUAUUAUUUACCAAAAGAAUUCAGAAUUAAUAUUGUAACAUAGACCUAAAAAAUCUAUAAAACAACUUUUAACAACGGAUCUCUUGGUUCUCGCAUCGAUGAAGAACGUAGCAAAGUGCGAUAACUAGUGUGAAUUGCAUAUUCAGUGAAUCAUCGAGUCUUUGAACGCAACUUGCGCUCAUUGGUAUUCCAAUGAGCACGCCUGUUUCAGUAUCAAAACAAACCCUCUAUCCAACAUUCUUGUUGAAUAGGAUGACUGAGAGUCUCCUGGUCAAUUUUGGCCUCGAACCUCUUGAAAUGUACAAAGGCCUGAUCUUGUUUAAAUGCCUGAACUUUUUUUUAAUAUAAA